GACGUAGGGCGCGAGCGUUGUCCGGAUUUAUUGGGCGUAAAGAGCUCGUAGGCGGCUUGUCGCGUCGACCGUGAAAACUUGGGGCUCAACCCCAAGCCUGCGGUCGAUACGGGCAGGCUCGAGUUCGGUAGGGGAGACUGGAAUUCCUGGGUGUAGCGGUGAAAUGCGCAGAUAUCAGGAGGAACACCGAUGGCGAAGGCAGGUCUCUGGGCCGAUACUGACGUGAGGAGCGAAAGCGUGGGGAGCGAACAGG
rnacentral:rRNA from 1 species